AAGCAAUAUGCUCUACUUCUUGUAGUGAAAUCAGGAUAUGCUGGUCCUUAUACAAACAGGAGCGAAUGAUAGUAGUCGAAUCUGUGUAAAUUGAGCACUUGAUAUUAGGCCGAUUAUUUAGAAGCCACUUAACUGCCUCAGUACAUGCUUGUAUCUCUGCAGCAAGAGCAGUUUCUGAAUCGAUGGAAGGUGCUGCGCAACAAUAAACGACCACAUCCCCUUCAAUGACUAAAUAUCCAAUUCCACCCGAGUGAUUUUCCUUCCAAGCACCAUCCACCCAACAGAUGGUGUUU
rnacentral:lncRNA from 1 species